UAAAUCAAUUUGCAUGAAUUUCCGAAUUCGCCUCGCAAGAGCAAUAAAUACAUAUCUAUAUAUGUAUGUACGUAAUUGAUAGCCAUUUGUAUGAGUGAUGAAGCAAACGUAAAACGAGCCAACUAACCAAAUUGCCACAAGGCAUCAGCCGACGUGUGAUACGGAUAUUCAGCCAGUUGUUAGUAAGUCAACUAUUCAGAAAGGGUGCCCUUUAACAGUUUCAAGCAAAUUCAAAAGUCUGCGGCAGCCCACUUUCUUGGCUAUUACACUAUGCGUGUAUUUAUAUGUUUGGCGCUGUUCUACCACUGCAGUGAAAUUUGGGGCACUAAUAAAUAAGGAGUGGUCUCGUGACUGUCCUUCAACUGGUGCAAAACGGCUACUGAUUGGCUAUUGCUUUUGUCAAGGCCAUCAAUACUUACUACAAGUAGACAGUGGAAAUCACUUGGGACAGUUGAAUUUACUGCAGGAUUUAUACGGAAAAUGGUAGAUGGUAGUGUGAAUUUUUGAUGUAUUUGUAGAUGUAUGUAGGUGUGUGUAUGCGGGGCUACUUAUAACGAGAUGAACCAAUAAUGAGUUAUGCUGUCCACGGCAAGAGCAUUUUUUUGUGAGACGUGAAGGGAGAUGAGGUACCAACGGCUGAGUUUUCGGAAUUUUUAAAUAAAAAUUUCACAAAAUACUGUUUAAAUAUGUAUCUUUGAUAUGCUGAAUUGUUUAAAUAAAAUAUAUGAUUGUAUA